GAGCAGGAUCACUUCUUGCCUUUGCCAAGGAGUUUGAUAAGAUGGGGCAAUGCUGCUGGGUUAGUAGGAAGAACAUUUGGUCACUGAGGGAAGGAGGGUCUGUCUGUUGAUCCUCUAGGAGAACCUUGGGGUGAGGUCUCUAGUCUAUGAAUAUGGACAUGACUUUCAAAAAGAAUAUGGGGCUCUGCUGUAUUCCACUACAGGGUCUAGAGUAUGAUGAGUUGAUACAGUCAGAAUUUUAGUGAGGGAAGACUCGCGGUCCUGCUCAUUCUUAGCUAGCACUUCGUCCAGGCUGCUCAAAUCAGUGCUCUGAUCAGCUGUAAGACUUUGAACAUCAGAGACUUAAUUAAGACACCAAAGCCCAGCACAGAUGACCACCUUCCCAGUUAACUCACAUUAAUUCCUCAUCCAGACUUGGUCAAUGGAAAUGAAGGAUGUUUUGUCUGGAAGACCAGAAGAGACACUCCCAGAAUCCAAGAACAUUAACAACUAGCUGGGUCAAGAGAGUUCAUUGCUGGCCACGCAAUAGGGUGCACCCUAUAAAUGACUCAGUUGAAGAGCUCUCUGAGGAUGAGCUGUCCACCUCAAACUUGGAGGAAGAGGCCCUGCCCACCGGUGUGGUAAGUGCCCCAAUCUAUCUGAG
ensembl:lncRNA